GGCACAGUGGUAGAGUGGUUAAUACGUGAGACUCGAAUUCUCCGAAGGUGGCUAGUUUCGCGUUUGGUGAACUUAGAUUAUCUCAUGCCUUCGGGCGCGUAGGUUCGAAUCCUGCCUGUGUCG
rnacentral:tRNA from 1 species